GACAGAGGAUGCAAGCGUUAUCCGGAAUGAUUGGGCGUAAAGCGUCUGUAGGUGGCUUUUUAAGUCCGCCGUCAAAUCCCAGGGCUCAACCCUGGACAGGCGGUGGAAACUACCAAGCUGGAGUAUAGUAGGGGUAAAGGGAAUUUCCAGUGGAGCGGUGAAAUGCGUAGAGAUUGGAAAGAACACCGAUGGCGAAGGCACUUUACUGGGCUAUUACUAACACUCAGAGACGAAAGCUAGGGUAGCAAAUGGG
rnacentral:rRNA from 1 species